UAAAAAACGACUGCCGUGUUGCCUAUGU
rnacentral:piRNA from 1 species